AGCGAACGCUGGCGGCAGGCCUAACACAUGCAAGUCGAACGAACCUUUCGGGGUUAGUGGCGGACGGGUGAGUAACACGUGGGAACGUGCCUUUAGGUUCGGAAUAACUCAGGGAAACUUGUGCUAAUACCGAAUGUGCCCUUCGGGGGAAAGAUUAAUCGCCUUUAGAGCGGCCCGCGUCUGAUUAGCUAGUUGGUUGAGGUAAUGGCUCACCAAGGCGACGAUCAGUAGCUGGUCUGAGAGGAUGAUCAGCCACAUUGGGACUGAGACACGGCCCAAACUCCUACGGGAGGCAGCAGUGGGGAAUCUUGCGCAAUGGACGAAAGCCUGACGCAGCCAUGCCGCGUGAAUGAUGAAGGUCUUAGGAUUGUAAAAUUCUUUCACCGGGGACGAUAAUGACGGUACCCGGAGAAGAAGCCCCGGCUAACUUCGUG
rnacentral:rRNA from 1 species